GGGUGCCACAGAUGACCAUUUUAUUUGAUUUAAUUACUUGUCUCAAUCUCAAUCUUCACCAUAAGCAUGUUAACCCGAAUGACAUAUUGUCACAAACAUUCUUAUAGAAUGGGUUUUCCGACACGGUCGCCUCUGGGUACAACUGGGUGAAGCUGAAGGUCGAAAACGCCGUUGUCGUCUUUCUGAAUGCGAUGCGGACUCACGCUAACACGCACAAGCUGUCAAUAAGGUGCGCGCAUGCGCGUGGCUAAAGCCAGCAGCUGAACCUUGUGUCAAAACACAGAGGGAAAGCGGCAGGAGGCAGCAAAUCUGGGCUAGGUUUCAUUUUCGUGGGAGUAUUUAUAAAACCAGAUUUUUCAAUAACGUACACAUACCAUGACCGAACAAUCAGCGUUACUUCUUCGAAAACAACUUGCAGAGCUCAACAAGAACCCUGUGGAGGGCUUUUCGGCAGGUCUAAUAGAUGAUGACGACAUAUAUAAAUGGGAAGUUGUGAUCAUUGGUCCCCAGGAUACCCUUUUUGAAGGAGGGUUUUUUAAAGCAUAUCUAACCUUUCCCUAUGAUUAUCCUCUUCGACCUCCAAAGAUGAAGUUCAUAACUGAAAUAUGGCACCCAAAUGUUGCAAAAAAUGGGGAUGUUUGCAUCUCCAUCCUGCAUGAGCCUGGAGAGGAUAAAUUUGGCUACGAGAAGCCCGAAGAGCGCUGGCUGCCCAUCCACACGGUUGAGACAAUCAUGAUUAGUGUUAUCUCCAUGUUGGCAGACCCCAACAGUGAUUCACCAGCUAAUGUAGAUGCUGCAAAAGAGUGGAGGGAGGACCCAAACGGUGAAUUCAAGAGAAAAGUGGCUCGUUGUGUAAGAAAAAGUCAAGAGAUGGCCUUUGACUAGAAGCCCAUUGUGAAUCCCAGGAUUUAUGAGAACAGUUUCCCAGCAUCACCUCUAUGUGUCGCCAAAGCACCAAAAGCUGCAGAAACUUUAUGGAAAUGCCUCCAGAGGGAAACGUUCCAACUUGUGUGCCCCUUGUUUUGCAAGACAAAAGGAAUUGGUUGGAACCUGGUUUCUGCGAGCGGUUGUCAUUUAUCACAAGAAGAGCAAAUUGGAGAACACUACCAGCGAAAUUCACUUACUUCCUACAUGGAAUUGUAUAUUUAAUUUUAUUUAUUUUGGAAAACUAAUGAUGUAAAAUAUGUCACUACUGUAAAUUAACUUCCUUUUUUUAUCUGCUGCUGAACAGUUUCUACUUUAUACUACCAGGUUUCUUAUGCAAUUUAGUGGUCAAUAUUGAGUCGAACAAAUGAAAGCCUGUUACCUUUUAAACAUCACCCCCUGUGCUCACUACUACAUACUGUACUUGUCAGCCCAGCAUAUCUGUCAAUAGAUGUGACUUGUGAUUUUCAGCACUGUCAUUGACCCACUGUUGCCUUUUAUUGGCGUUAUUUCAUCACUCUGCUUAUUGUUCAGAAAGAGAGGAUGACAUUUCUGUGGCACUUAUACAUCUUUUAUUUCGUUAUUUAUUUUAGAAACAGCGACCUGCUAGUAUUAGCUAUCUCUGCGAGGGUAGCAAUGACUCAAACGUGCAUGAUCCCUUCAAAAACUCUCUUGCGUCUUGUUUCUAAUUGUCGUCGUGAACGGAAUGGCUUACUGUGCUUUGAGAGCCACGAUCUUCUCGUAUAUAGACUUAUUGCACACGCGUGGCUGACAUUAACACUAGGUUUGUGCCAACAUCUCAGGAUUAAACUCUAAUGUUGCAAUUAGCACUCGGUGGGAUACUUAAAGUUCCUCAUGGCCUUUCUCGGCCAAUGAAAAUUUAUUUCAACAACCACAACCAAAAACGGUCUGUGGAGAAAAGUGUACAAGCUGUGAUAAUUCUGGGUGGGUAGUGUGGAGUGCUGUGGCAUCUGGAAUUUACCUCAAUCUGGUUGUUGAGUUCUCAAUGUGGGGAUGUUUGGGGGCUACAUUGUAGAAUUGAACUAGCUGUUAGUAUGUUGUUGCACAUUGGGCUUUUCUGUGGAUACGUUUCACAAUUUUAAGAGGGUUUAGAUGCUGAGGAUUGUAAGUAGAUUGACAGGUAAAACUUUCAUCACCUUAAGCUUUUCCUGGUGCACAUUUUGCCAACAUGUAUCAUGUUAAAAGUUCAGAAUUUUUUUUUUUUUUUUUUUUUGCAUGAGAUUGACCAAACACCAUUUGUCAUUGGAGAAAGACACAAUUCUGCAUGUACGUUUUACUUUAAAUAAAGUACACUGGUCAAAAUAACAGAUAUUUCCCCCUCCGUAAUGCCAUCUACACCGAUACAGACUGAUUACAAAAUAACCAUCUUUUGGCACAUGCAAUCAGGGUUGAAUGAGUUGAGUAUGUGAAGGAUACUAUUUACAAUGUACAUCCUGGAUGAAUGUGAUGUAUAUUCUUAGUAGACUUAAUCAUGUUACUGCUGUUGUUUUACGUCAUUUUCUAACCUACCAUGACCUCUGACCGGUGUUCACUGUAUUUGCACAGAUUCAGUGCGUUUUUCAAACGUCAUCAAGCAAUAUGCUCUGAAAAUGGUGUCCAGGGAAUCCACCCUAUAAUGUUGCUACUUGUUUUGUUUUCCAUUUUUUGUCAACGCAAUGUACAUUGGACAUGAUGCUCAAUAAAGUGUGUAAAACAAG